rnacentral:pre_miRNA from 1 species
AAAUCUCAUACGGUAAUUUGGAGAAAAUUGGGAAAAUUCCUUGUAGGAGUUUUGGUUAUUCGUGCGUUUGCUCGAGUCUCUCCAUCCAUGGCCCAGUAUCCAAAUUGCUGUUUGGGGUGGCC